rnacentral:rRNA from 1 species
CAAGGAAUUUUCCCCAAUGGGCGCAAGCCUGAGGGAGCAACGCCGCGUGCAGGACGACGGCUUUCGGGUUGUAAACUGCUUUUGCGUGGGACGAUAACGACGGUACCACGCGAAUAAGCCCCGGCUAACUCUGUGCCAGCAGCCGCGGUAAUACGGAGGGUGCAAGCGUUGUCCGGAUUUAUUGGGUUUAAAGGGUGCGUAGGCGGUUUAUUAAGUCAGUGGUGAAAGCCCCCAGCUCAACUGGGGAACUGCCAUUGAAACUGGUAGACUUGAGUACAGACGAGGUAGGCGGAAUUUAUGGUGUAGCGGUGAAAUGCAUAGAUACCAUAAAGAACCCCGAUAGCGAAGGCAGCUUACUAGACUGUAACUGACGCUGAGGCACGAAAGCGUGGGGAGCGAACAGGAUUAGAUACCCCCGUAGUCC